AUUGAACGCUGGCGGCAGGCCUAACACAUGCAAGUCGAACGAGUGGCGGACGGGUGAGUAAUGUCUGGGAAACUGCCUGAUGGAGGGGGAUAACUACUGGAAACGGUAGCUAAUACCGCAUACCAUCGGAUGUGCCCAGAUGGGAUUAGCUAGUAGGUGGGGUAACGGCUCACCUAGGCGACGAUCCCUAGCUGGUCGGAGAGGAUGACCGGCCACACUGGAACGGAGACACGUUCCAGACUCCUACGGGAGGCAGCAGGGGGGAAAAUUGCACAAUGGGCGCAAGCCUGACGGAGCAACGCCGGGUGUAUGAUGAAGGCCUUCGGGUUGUAAAGUACUGUUAGCGGGGAAGCGUUACCCGCAGAAGAAGCACCGGCUAACUCCGUGCCAGCAGCCGCGGUAAGAC
rnacentral:rRNA from 1 species